GCACAAGCAGCGGAGCGUGUGGUUUAAUUCGAUGCUACACGAAGAACCUUACCAGGGUUUGACAUGCAAGUGGUAGGAAACUGAAAGGGACCGACCCUUCGGGAGCUUGCACAGGUGCUGCAUGGCUGUCGUCAGCUCGUGUCGUGAGAUGUUCGGUUAAGUCCGCUAACGAGCGCAACCCUCACUGUGUGUUAUAUGUGUCACACGGGACUGCCGGUUUUAAGCCGGAGGAAGGUGGGAUGACGUCAAGUCAUCAUGGCCCUUAUGUCCAGGGCGACACACGUGCUACAAUGGCCGGCACAGCGGGAAGCGAGGGGGCGACCUUGAGCGGAUCCCUCAAAGCCGGUCUCAGUUCGGAUUGCAGUCUGCAACUCGACUGCAUGAAGUUGGAAUCGCUAGUAAUCGUGGAUCAGCCAAGCCGCGGUGAAUACGUUCCCGGGCCUU
rnacentral:rRNA from 1 species